CUGUGAUGUAUAUCACAUAAAAAUAAUGAUAUUUACAGGAGCAACCCAUGAAAUUGAUCAAUAAAGUUAUCGCAAUGUUUGAAAAAAUGAGUGUUUCAUUUGGUACUAUCAACGGAUAAUAGUUUUAUUAAUAUUCUGUAACGCGUUCUAAUGUCCUGGGUGGUUCGAUAUAGCGUUAAAGAGGCUAUAGUCAUCAAGGACUAACAGUGAAAUUCGAUAAAUAUGAGACUCUCUAUUUAUCGAAUUUCAUAUUAUUACAGCUACGCAUAGCUUUUUAUUGAGAUUAAUCUCAGGCAUCUAUCC
rnacentral:ncRNA from 1 species